GUCGCCUCAGCCAUACAAGGCAUGCCAGUUCAUUCUUGAGAAUUCUCAAGUAGCAAAUGCGAGGUUUCCAGCGGCUUCAGCAAUUCGAGAUGCUGUUAUGAAGGAAUGGUGCAGGUGAUGACAAGAAAUGCUUGACAAGAUAUUCUGCUGCUGGGCGCGGGAUGCUGCUGUAGGUGUCACAAAGAGUAUAACUGAACCUGAUACUGAGC
rnacentral:misc_RNA from 1 species